rnacentral:rRNA from 1 species
UACGGGGGGGGCAAGCGUUGUUCGGAAUUACUGGGCGUAAAGGGCUCGUAGGCGGCCAACUAAGUCAUACGUGAAAUCCCUCGGCUUAACCGGGGAACUGCGUCUGAUACUGGAUGGCUUGAGUUCGGGAGAGGGAUGCGGAAUUCCAGGUGUAGCGGUGAAAUGCGUAGAUAUCAUUUGGAACGCCAAUGGUGAAAACAGCUCGCUGGGGGUGUGCUGACGCUGAGACACGAAAGCCAGGGGAGCGAACGGG